GAUGAAGAAUGUAGCGAAAUGCGAUAAGUGAUGUGAAUUGCAGAAUUCAGUGAAUCAUCGAAUCUUUGAACGCACAUUGCGCCCGUCAGUAUUCUGGCGGGCAUGCCUGUUCGAGCGUCAUUACGCCCCUCAAGUCCCCUGUGGACUUGGUGUUGGGGAUCGGCGAGGCUGGUUUUCCAGCACAGCCGUCCCUUAAAUUAAUUGGCGGUCUCGCCGUGGCCCUCCUCUGCGCAGUAGUAAAACACUCGCAACAGGAGCCCGGCGCGGUCCACUGCCGUAAAACCCCCCAACUUUUUAUAGUUGACCUCGAAUCAGGUAGGACUACCCGCUGAACUUAAGCAUAUCAAUAAGCGGAGGA
rnacentral:misc_RNA from 1 species